CGAAUUCGCCCUUCGGGGUGCAGCAGGCGCGAAAACUUUACAAUGCGGGAAACCGUGAUAAGGGGACACCGAGUGCCAGCAUCAUAUGCUGGCUGUCCGGGUGUGUAAAAUACACCCGUUAGCAAGGGCCGGGCAAGACCGGUGCCAGCCGCCGCGGUAACACCGGCGGCCCGAGUGGUGAUCGUGAUUAUUGGGUCUAAAGGGUCCGUAGCCGGUUUGGUCAGUCCUCCGGGAAAUCUGACGGCUCAACCGUUAGGCUUUCGGGGGAUACUGCCAGGCUUGGAACCGGGAGAGGUAAGAGGUACUACAGGGGUAGGAGUGAAAUCUUGUAAUCCCUGUGAGACCACCUGUGGCGUAGGCGUCUUACCAGAACGGGUUCGACGGUGAGGGACGAAAGCUGGGGGCACGAACCGGAUUAGAUACCCGGGUAGUCCCAGCCGUAAACGAUGCUCGCUAGGUGUCAGGCAUGGCGCGACCGUGUCUGGUGCCGCAGGGAAGCCGUGAAGCGAGCCACCUGGGAAGUACGGCCGCAAGGCUGAAACUUAAAGGAAUUGGCGGGGGAGCAC
rnacentral:rRNA from 1 species